AUACGUGGCUCUUACCUGUCGGGUGUGGAUAAACGGUGUAUAAACUAGUCAAACGAGGACAUUGUUAUUAACUAUAUGCACGUUAACAGUGUAUACUUUAAAUACUACAUAGAAUACAGUGUAUACGAAAUAAUUAACUUGCAUCUUUAUUACCGUAGUAUUUGGUGACGUACAAACAAGAAAUGACGGCAGUAUGGCAGCAUUCGGAAUCCUUCGCCGACACGAAUCUCAAAAUGCUUGAUGAUGGGUAUUUGUGUGACGUCAUAUUAGCUGCUGGGCAACGACCACAAACGUCUAAAAUGUCAUAAAUUCAUGCUUGCAAGUCGCAGUCCGGUGUUUCAUGCCAUGUUUUGCGGCACACUUGCCGAAUCAAGUGACGUCAUCAGCAUACCGGAUAUCGAAGAGCCGGUACUGAGGAUUCUAGUAAGAUCAGGCCAUACGUUUUGAGUAUCCGGUUCUAAAACACCAGUGCUUAGACUUAAUACAACUUCAAUCGAAAUGCGUUUUAGAAUCUGACGCCUUUGUUGAAAUGUCAAAGGAGGGGCUGAAAGAGGUUUUAAAAAUGAACAAAAUGUUGUGCAGUGAAUGUGACGUGUACUUAGCUUGCAAACGGUGGGCUUCAAUAAAUAUUGAAUCCUCUGAAAAACAGACGACCGGAGCAGAUAUCCGGAAUAAAUUGGGAGACGAGAUUAUCAACCUCAUCAGAUUCCCAAGCUUGACAUUAGAAGAGUUCACGGAUGUUGUGUCCAAUGAUAAUGUCCUCACUAAAGAAGAAACAAUCUCCGUUUAUCAAACACUAAUACAAAAUAAAAAUGUCUCGAAGUUUAAGAACGAAACUAGGGGAAUGACGACCAAGCCAUACCUAUUUAAAAGAUGUUGGAGUAUGGUUAGUAUGAACUCGAUGUUUGGUGUUAUGGAAAAUGGUCUAAAUUUUACAGUUUCGACUGAAUGUUCAUUGACAGGUGUUAAUAUGUUUCUACCAGAGUCAGAAGGUUCUGCGGAAUGCGUAUUUGAGAUUUGGGUGGGUAUUAGCAUUGUACAUUCACAAAGCGUUCAGCAGUGUCAAACUCCUGGACUGACACACAAACAUGUCCAUCUUGACAAACCUAUUCAUCUUAUUGGAAUGCAGAAAUAUUCAAUCACACAUAGAACAACGGGAGCGAGACUUUAUCAAUGCUUGUCAAGUAUGGCACAAAUAAGCAUUCAUAAUGUGACAUUGACGUUGUUCAACUUGAAGGUCGGAACAGGUUAUGUCAGAAAAAGGGAUGAUGGAACGAACGUUUACUGCAAACAGUUUUACGGUUUUGAAUUGUCAAU